ACCUGGGCUGGCUCAGAGGGUAGAGCAUGAGCCUCGUAAACUCAGGGUCGGGCUCCGAGCCCUGUGCUGGGCA